GGUGAUCUUAAAGGUCUUUUCCAACUUUGGUGAUUCUGUGGUCUUUCUGUGACCUUUCUGUUGUUGUUAAACCGAACUUUUAUAGUAAAGUGACAAACUAUUUUUAUAAGUAUGUUUUGUUUGUGUUUUGCAUUAUUUCUUAGUAUUGUAUAGUAAAAGCAUAUUUAAGCUUGCUAAUGUUAUAGAUACAUAGGGUGGAAACCUAUUUACAGGUGUUCUGAAAAUCAGCAGAGGUGUGUGAUAUGUAAGCGAUGCUCUAAUCAGGAAAAUAACUUUUUGUUCAGUGUAGUCAUAGAGUCUUGUAUCUUGGUAUUUGUUACCCAGUGCGUGGCUGCUAUUCAGAAAUGAGGAAGAAUGUCAAUAAAGAUGCUUUCUCCCUACAUUGCCUCUGUCCACAGAUAGCAAAUGUCCAACUAUUACCACAUUUUCAGCCAUUUAGGUUCCAAAAUGAAGUAUAAACAGUGUAUUAGAUAUUAUCAUUUUAUGUUUACUGAUGUCAAUCAUUUUGUGUAAUUCCUUCUUAUAGGAUGAAUUUUAUUUCUGAAAGAACAAUUCGUUCUAAAAUUGACCAUUUUUCCAGAUCUUGUGCUUCUUGAAUCCAGGGGGCAACUGUCUUAAAUUGUCUUUUUCCCCACUGAAAUCAGGAGAGGAGUAUUUUAUAACCAGUAGCUUUUGCCACUGAUCCCUGUAUUAUAGGCAAGUCUUUAGAUUCUCUUAUUCUCAGUUUCUUAAUGUGUAAAACUAAUUGUUUUAGUAACAGUGUUUCUUACAGCUGUGUGAAUUGAUAUUUGAAAGGCUGUUUUUUGAAUGGAAGGCAUAAUAUGUAAUUUUGGAUAUUAUUGUAACCAUAUCUGUACAGUGUAGAGCAUAAGUUCUUUGCUAACAAAGAAAUCAACAACUGAAUUGUACCUAUGUGAUUUUUGAGUUUUCCCUCCUGUCACAUUUCCCAAGUUGGCUGAGCUAUCCUCAUACUGCAGUGUAUGGGAACUGCUGAGUCACGGCCUGAAGCACUGAUUGAGCACCUGGGGAAAGGACCCGGUCAGCCCUGGGAGCACAGGUGAGGGCAAUUCAGGUGUGUGACCAAAAGGGGUGGAGCCUGGCUGCACCUCUCUGAGGCCUCAUUUAAGGGCUGACUGCCACUGGGAAAGGAUCUCUGGUUGAAGAUCCCUCCCUCCCUUGGGGAGUCUCUUCUGUGAGCCUAGGUCUUCAGAGAUGGGAGGCUCAAUGAUGGCUGAAGAGUGCAUGACGCAGGCUGACAAGUGGCAUAACAUAAGUGGAAAGAGGCUGUCUAAAGCAAAUAACAGGCGACCAGACUGGAUGUCAGGAGGCUGAGGAGGUAAGAAAAGAAUUUUCUGAAGCCUCUGUGUAGAGGUAUUAGAUACAAAUCAGAAUUGGAGAUCUUACUGUAAAAUAGAAUGUAUUAUUUUCAUCCACUCACGUUGGAGUUUCAUUAAUUGAACCCACAGAGAACACAGAUGCAGAAGUUAUGACUAUUCUGUUAAUUUUGCAAGCCUUUGUAACUUGAUUAUUUUCAGUCUUGUCUGGAUGCACAGUACUAGUGGAUUAUGGUUGUUUAUCAUAUACAAAACUAUCCUCAUGUUCUUGUAAAGUCAGACUCCUUAGCAGAAUAUCCCAGCAACCAGAACUAUGUAGGAGAGUCCAGGUAAAAUAUGUUUAAGUUAUUUUUGCCAGUCUUUAAUGAAAAAUAUUGUCAUAAAACUUAAAACAGCAGCUAGGAAACAUAAACAUAUAUUCAAAUUGAUGAAAGCUAAAUAGGUAAGCCCUCUGACAUAACAUCUGAUGUUCUUUGAUAUAACUAGAAAAGAAGCUUCAUAUUUAUGAAACCUGUUUCCAGUAACACAGAAAUGAAUUGCGGUGCUUCUUUGCCAGUUCUUUUUGACCUAGUGAAACACUUUAAAAAAAAAAAAAAAUCAUUUUGUUUAUUCUGUAACAAAUGGCUAUGUUUGUGUGAUAACAUUAUAAUCAACAACGUUGACUUGUGGAAUAAUUGACUUGUUAAUAAAAUAUCCAGUAAGAUGUUUGUUUCAAGCAAAGCAGAAGUAUUCAUGAUUUCAUCUUCAGAGUGAUGUGAAGAUGCUUUUAUUGUAAAAUGUAGGCCUGGUCACCUUAGACCUGCAGUCGUAAUUGAAAUGAGUUUUCAAGACAGUACUUGAUGCCUUGUGUAUUGAAUUCAGUGCAAAGCUUUCUUAUUUGUUUGUAUUAUUUAUAUGGGCCCUAUUCAUGAUCAAAGACUUUCCUGUGCGAGGCGUAUGCCAAAAGAUAGUUCUUUGCUCAAGGAUUGUAUGAAUCAAGCAUAAUUUUAAUCGGAGUGAGGUAAACAGGUUAGUGCUAAAAAAGAAAAUAACAGUAUAGUAUGGUAGAUUAAAACUGUCCAGUUCUAUGACGUAGGUAAACAGGUUAGUGCUAAAAAAGAAAAGAACAGUGUAGUAUGGUAGAUUAAAACUGUCCAGUUCUAUGACGUUUACCAAAAGCUGACACUGCUUCAGUCACUGAUAUGUUUGAGAUCACUGUCAGCUUGAGGUAAAUGUCACAGAACUAGACAGUUUUAAUGGAAGAGCUCUAGAGAGCUGGCAAAAUUGUAUCCUAACAGUUUAGACAACUUUUUAGACUGGUCACAGUACACUAUCACUAAGCAAUAGUAAAAUGAUAGCAAAUACUUGUAUCUUAUGUAUAGAUAUUUUCCUUAUGAAUAGAAUAUAAGGAUAGGUGCUCUCAAACUGACAGAAAACAACCCAAGCUUAAAUGCACACUAAAAACCCCAAGAGGGCAGUUGUGCAGAGUAAUACUUCUGUAUUUACUCCUACUGUGUUUUGUUAUGCAGAUAAAUCCUUCUAAGGUUGUUAACUGAAUUUUAGAAUGUUUCUAAAACUGUAAAUAUUAAUUACUGCCUUGCAUUUAGAACAGUCAAUUCCAUUAGUAUGCAUAGACUAAAUGAUGGCAAUUAAAGCUAUUUUAACCCUAUUGAUCUUAGUUAUAGGUGGCACGUAUGAGAAAGUUUAUCUUUCAGUUCCUUAGACAGGUGAGUCAGAGUUGAGGAAAAAAAAAUCAUUUUAUGGAGAUAAUAGACAUGUUUGAUUUAUGUCUUUGACAUAUGGACAGUAUUUGUAGAAUCCCUCUAUGCCUUUAUUUCAGAGGAAGAAUGGAGCUGCGCUUUAAUGUAUUAAAAAAUAUUUCAGAGUAAAAUGGUAUUGAAAUCCAAACUAUAUUUUUUUAUCUUUUGACUUUAGCACCAAGUAAAAAAAAUCAUAAAUAACUGUGGUGUCUUUGCACCAACAAUCUUGAAAUGCUCCUCCUCUCAGUAUAUUUGAGGAAAAAUUCA